AGUUGGGAGUUAUCAGUUAGAGGUGAGUGGCCUGAAGAUGGUCAGGAAGAGCCAGCAAAGGUAUAAAAAGAAUAAACUUUUUUUUAAAAAGUGGUCACCAAGAGGAAAGCCCAGGAAAGUGUUGAAGGGGAAGUAAUGAUGUCCCAGGGCAGAGGUCUGGGCUCUUUCUGAGACACUACUCAUUUCAGGGGUCCAGUGACUGCCUGUGUUUACAAGUUCCCUGCCCACACAGCAAUGCCAUCUAUAUAUGGUUUCAGACCAUCACAGGACACCACAAUGGAGACUACUACUAUGCCAGAAUUGCAAAACAUCAAAUCUACAGAGAGGGAGAAGGAAAAAGAAAGUCCUGGUAAUGAUGAGAACCGAAUUGCUGCGACAAAGAUAGCCUGUGUACCUUGCACCUGCUAGGUAAGCCAUCAGUUUAAGAUCAUCUCUGUCACUAUCAAGAAAACCUGUCACCGAGAUUAUCUGGUACAGAAAACGAAUGAAACAAAGACAAAAGUAGAUUUGUGUAAUUGUGCUUUCCCCUGAUUAAACACAA